rnacentral:rRNA from 1 species
AGGGUUUGAUUCUGGCUCAGGACGAACGCUGGCGGCGUGCUUAACACAUGCAAGUCGAACGAGAAUCUGUGGAACAAGGAUUCGUCCAAGUGAAGCAGAGGACAGUGGCGGACGGGUGAGUAACGCGUGAGGAACCUGCCUUUCAGAGGGGGACAACAGUUGGAAACGACUGCUAAUACCGCAUAACACGUAGAGAUCGCAUGGUCUUUACGUCAAAGAUUUAUCGCUGAAAGAUGGCCUCGCGUCUGAUUAGCUAGUUGGUGAGGUAACGGCCCACCAAGGCGACGAUCAGUAGCCGGACUGAGAGGUUGACCGGCCACAUUGGGACUGAGAUACGGCCCAG